GAAAAAAGACAAGUACAAUAAUCAUGAUCCAAGUCCCAUUGAGUUUUUCAAAGACACCCAUACAAACAGCAAGACUGAUAGCAUGAGCUGAGUCAGGACUUCUAGCUCAUAAUGCGAUGGAAAAGAAAAGGGAAGCACAAUCAGAAGGUGAGCAGCCAGUAUCCGAUACAUCGAUUGUGGCUGAAGUUCUAAAGGAAGAAAGCGCCCAUAGCACCGUCCUUUCUAGCAUGGGGUAUGCAUCAAGAUCCGGGAGGUCUGGGAGCUCUACUUCAUGAGCCUAGAUCCGAUUUCUAGAAGAAAGAAUUGAAUAGAAGGAUAGAGAGGCAAGAGAUGCAAAUGACAGGCAUCGGGAGGAGUUAGUCGCAAGACUUGAAGCACGAGAGAGAGCAUUUUAAGAGAUACAAAAGAAGCAGCAAGAAGAAUUGGAAGCUUUAAAAAAGAGCCAGCAAGAGAAGACUGAAGCCUGGGCAAAGAAGCAAAAGGAGACGGGACAAUCUGCUUGAUUUUUUGAGGGCUCAAGCAACUCUGCAGUCCCAGUCCCAACCAGAUGGUUCAUGAAUGCCAUCCUUACAUUGCAAUCAUCAGGAUAACAUAUGUGGUCUUUAGUUAAUAUUAGUUUUCAUCUUGUCUAUUGUCUGUGUUAAACUUGAGUCAGCUUUU